UACGAAGGGGGCUAGCGUUGCUCGGAAUCACUGGGCGUAAAGGGUGCUUAGGCGGGUCUUUAAGUCCGGGGUGAAAUCCUGGAGCUCAACUCCAGAACUGCCUUUGAUACUGAGGAUCUUGAGUUCGGGAGAGGUGAGUGGAACUGCGAGUGUAGAGGUGAAAUUCGUAGAUAUUCGCAAGAACACCAGUGGCGAAGGCGGCUCACUGGCCCGAUACUGACGCUGAGGCGCGAAAGCGUGGGGAGCAAACAGG
rnacentral:rRNA from 1 species